CCUACGGGUGGCUGCAGUGGGGAAUAUUGCACAAUGGGCGCAAGCCUGAUGCAGCCAUGCCGCGUGUGUGAAGAAGGCCUUCGGGUUGUAAAGCACUUUCAGCGGGGAGGAAGGCGGUGAGGUUAAUAACCUCAUCGAUUGACGUUACCCGCAGAAGAAGCACCGGCUAACUCCGUGCCAGCAGCCGCGGUAAUACGGAGGGUGCAAGCGUUAAUCGGAAUUACUGGGCGUAAAGCGCACGCAGGCGGUCUGUCAAGUCGGAUGUGAAAUCCCCGGGCUCAACCUGGGAACUGCAUUCGAAACUGGCAGGCUAGAGUCUUGUAGAGGGGGGUAGAAUUCCAGGUGUAGCGGUGAAAUGCGUAGGGAUCUGGAGGAAUACCGGUGGCGAGGGCGGCCCCCUGGACAAAGACUGACGCUCAGGUGCGAAAGCGUGGGGAGCAAACAGGAUUAGAUACCCGUGUAGUC
rnacentral:rRNA from 1 species